rnacentral:rRNA from 1 species
UACAUGGGGUGCAAACGCUGCUCGGAAUCAUUGGGCGUAAAGCGCGCGUAGGCGGUUACACAAGUUGGAUGUGAAAGCCCUCGGCUUAACUGAGGAAGUGCAUCCAAAACUGUGCAGCUAGAGUACUAAAGAAAAUCGCGGAAUUCCCGGUGUAGAGGUGAAAUUCGUAGAUAUCGGGAGGAACACCGGUGGCGAAGGCGACUACCUGGCCUGUUCUUGACGCUGAGGCGCGAAAGCUAGGGGAGCAAACGGG